rnacentral:rRNA from 1 species
UACGUAGGGUGCAAGCGUUGUCCGGAAUUAUUGGGCGUAAAGAGCUCGUAGGCGGUUUGUCGCGUCGGCUGUGAAAACCUGGGGCUCAACCCCGGGCCUGCAGCCGAUACGGGCAAACUAGAAUUCGGUAGGGGAGACUGGAAUUCCUGGUGUAGCGGUGAAAUGCGUAGAUAUCAGGAGGAACACCGGUGGUGUAGACGGCUCUCUGGACCGUAACUGACGCUGAGACACGAAAGCGUGGGUAGCAAACAGG